rnacentral:tRNA from 1 species
GCGGGUAUGGUGGAAUUGGCAGACACGCAGGAUUUAGGUUCCUGUGGGUUAAACCGUGUGGGUUCAAGUCCCACUACCCGCACCA